rnacentral:rRNA from 1 species
CGAGGGGGCAAGUGUUGUUCGGAAUCACUGGGCGUAAAGGGAGCGUAGGCGGGCUCUUAAGUUGGAUGUUUAAAACCGGGGCCUAACCCCGGCGUGGCAUCCAAAACUGGGAGUCUUGAAUGGGACAGAGGCUAGUGGAAUUGGAGGUGUAGCGGUGGAAUGCGUAGAGAUCUCCAAGAACACCCGUUGCGAAGGCGGCUAGCUGGGUCCACAUUGACGCUGAGGCUCGAAAGCGUGGGGAGCAAACAGGAUUAGAUACCCUGGUAGUCCACGCCGUAAACGAUGAACACUAGGUUUUGACCCCGUCAACGGGUCAGAGCCGCAGCUAACGCGUUAAGUGUUCCGCCUGGGGAGUACGGUCGCAAGACUG